rnacentral:SRP_RNA from 1 species
GUCAAAUAGUCCAACGGUAAAACUACGAAAGGGUCAGGGCAGGAAUGCAGCAGCCAUCAGUAGUCGAGCCGUGUGGGCUAUUUUUAUUA